rnacentral:ncRNA from 1 species
AAAUUGAAGAGUUUGAUCAUGGCUCAGAUUGAACGCUGGCGGCAGGCUUAACACAUGCAAGUCGAACGGUAACAUGAGUGCUUGCACUUGAUGACGAGUGGCGGACGGGUGAGUAAAGUAUGGGGAUCUGCCGAAUGGAAGGGGACAACAGUUGGAAACGACUGCUAAUACCGUAUAAAGUCGUAAGACCAAAGCAUGGGACUUUCGGGCCAUGCGCCAUUUGAUGAACCCAUAUGGGAUUAGCUAGUAGGUGGGGUAAAGGCUCACCUAGGCGACGAUCUCUAGCUGGUCUGAGAGGAUGACCAGCCACACUGGAACUGAGACACGGUCCAGACUCCUACGGGAGGCAGCAGUGGGGAAUAUUGCACAAUGGGGGGAACCCUGAUGCAGCCAUGCCGCGUGUAUGAAGAAGGCCUUCGGGUUGUAAAGUACUUUCGGUGAUGAGGAAGGUAAUGUAUCUAAUAGGUGCAUUAAUUGACGUUAAUCACAGAAGAAGCACCGGCUAACUCCGUGCCAGCAGCCGCGGUAAUACGGAGGGUGCGAGCGUUAAUCGGAAUGACUGGGCGUAAAGGGCAUGUAGGCGGAUAAUUAAGUUAGGUGUGAAAGCCCUGGGCUCAACCUAGGAAUUGCACUUAAAACUGGUUAACUAGAGUAUUGUAGAGGAAGGUAGAAUUCCACGUGUAGCGGUGAAAUGCGUAGAGAUGUGGAGGAAUACCGGUGGCGAAGGCGGCCUUCUGGACAGAUACUGACGCUGAGAUGCGAAAGCGUGGGGAGCAAACAGGAUUAGAUACCCUGGUAGUCCACGCUGUAAACGAUGUCGAUUUGGAGUUUGUUGCCUAGAGUGAUGGGCUCCGAAGCUAACGCGAUAAAUCGACCGCCUGGGGAGUACGGCCGCAAGGUUAAAACUCAAAUGAAUUGACGGGGGCCCGCACAAGCGGUGGAGCAUGUGGUUUAAUUCGAUGCAACGCGAAGAACCUUACCUGGUCUUGACAUCCACAGAAUCUUGUAGAGAU